AGACAUCAGCGUUUGCGCAGAAAAGUUUGAUGGUUGUUCCGGUACAACCAUCACGGCUGUACCGGUACAAGCCCUGUUCCGGAACAAGCUGCAGCCUGUUCAGGGUACAGAAGCUUCGCAGAAAAAUCUUCCGUCAUGCUGUACCCUGGACAGCUUUCCUUGUUCCGGUACAAGGUGCUGAUUUUGGAAAGAAACUUUCUAAUCCUACUCCG
rnacentral:lncRNA from 1 species